CAGUAGCCACGGUAAUACAGAGGGUGCGAGCGUUAAUCGGAUUUACUGGGCGUAAAGCGUGCGUAGGCGGCUUCUUAAGUCGGAUGUGAAAUCCCUGAGCUUAACUUAGGAAUUGCAUUCGAUACUGGGAAGCUAGAGUAUGGGAGAGGAUGGUAGAAUUCCAGGUGUAGCGGUGAAAUGCGUAGAGAUCUGGAGGAAUACCGAUGGCGAAGGCAGCCAUCUGGCCUAAUACUGACGCUGAGGUACGAAAGCAUGGGGAGCAAACAGGAUUAGUACCCCGGUAGUCCCUGUCUCUUAUACA
rnacentral:rRNA from 1 species